rnacentral:rRNA from 1 species
GUGCCAGCAGCCGCGGUAAUACGGAGGGUGCGAGCGUUAAUCGGAAUGACUGGGCGUAAAGGGCAUGUAGGCGGAUGAUUAAGUUAGGUGUGAAAGCCCCGGGCUCAACCUGGGAAUUGCAUUUAAAACUGGUCGUCUGGAGUAUUGUAGAGGAAGGUAGAAUUCCACGUGUAGCGGUGAAAUGCGUAGAGAUGUGGAGGAAUACCGAUGGCGAAGGCAGCCUCCUGGGAUAACACUGACGUUCAUGCUCGAAAGCGUGGGUAGCAAACAGGAUUAGAUACCCUGGUAGUCCACGCCCUAAACGAUGACAAUUAGCUGUUGGGGUACUAGUUACCUUAGUAGCGAAGCUAACGCGUGAAAUUGUCCGCCUGGGGAGUACGGUCGCAAGAUUAAAACUCAAAGGAAUUGACGGGGACCCGCACAAGCGGUGGAUGAUGUGGAUUAA